UGGGGAAUAUUGGACAAUGGGCGAAAGCCUGAUCCAGCCAUGCCGCGUGUGUGAAGAAGGUCUUCGGAUUGUAAAGCACUUUAAGUUGGGAGGAAGGGCAGUAAGCGAAUACCUUGCUGUUUUGACGUUACCGACAGAAUAAGCACCGGCUAACUCUGUGCCAGCAGCCGCGGUCAUACAGAGGGUGCAAGCGUUAAUCGGAAUUACUGGGCGUAAAGCGCGCGUAGGUGGUUCGUUAAGUUGAAUGUGAAAGCCCCGGGCUCAACCUGGGAAAUGGAUCCAAAACUGGCGAGAGAGAGGAGGGCAGAGGGUGGUGGAAUUUCCUGUGUAGCGGAGAAAUGCGGAGAUAUAGGAAGGAACACCAGUGGCGAAGGCGACCACCUGGGCUCAUACUGACAAUGAGGUGCGAAAGCGUGGGGAGCAAACAGG
rnacentral:rRNA from 1 species